CCUACGGGCGGCUGCAGUGGGGAAUAUUGCACAAUGGGCGCAAGCCUGAUGCAGCCAUGCCGCGUGUGUGAAGAAGGCCUUCGGGUUGUAAAGCACUUUCAGCGGGGAGGAAGGCGUUAAGGUUAAUAACCUUGUCGAUUGACGUUACCCGCAGAAGAAGCACCGGCUAACUCCGUGCCAGCAGCCGCGGUAAUAUGGAGGGUGCAAGCGUUAAUCGGAAUUACUGGGCGUAAAGCGCACGCAGGCGGUCUGUCAAGUCGGAUGUGAAAUCCCCGGGCUCAACCUGGGAACUGCAUUCGAAACUGGCAGGCUAGAGUCUUGUAGGGGGGGGUAGAAUUCCAGGUGUAGCGGUGAAAUGCGUAGAGAUCUGGAGGAAUACCGGUGGCGAAGGCGGCCCCCUGGACAAAGACUGACGCUCAGGUGCGAAAGCGUGGGGAGCAAACAGGAUUAGAUACCCCAGUAGUC
rnacentral:rRNA from 1 species